rnacentral:rRNA from 1 species
UACGUAGGUGGCAAGCGUUGUCCGGAUUUAUUGGGUUUAAAGGGUGCGUAGGCGGUCUAUUAAGUCAGUGCUGAAAUAUCCCGGCUUAACCGGGAGGGUGGCAUUGAUACUGUAUGACUUGAGUAAAGUUGAGGUUGGCGGAAUUGACGGUGUAGCGGUGAAAUGCUUAGAUAUCGUCAAGAACACCGAUUGCGAAGGCAGCUAACUAAGCUUUAACUGACGCUGAGGCACGAAAGUGUGGGGAUCAAACAGG